AAGGGAGGCCUAAUUCCGGUAGGAGACGAAAAAAAAGUAGUCCCAACCAAGAAUCAAUCCCAAAAGGUCGGAACGAGGUAUGAGGCUUUCAAACUAGGUUCUGGGUUCAUAAAAGACCUGAAUCAGGAACAAGGGCUAUUAGCUCAGGUGGUUAGAGCGCACCCCUGAUAAGGGUGAGGUCCCUGGUUCGAGUCCAGGAUGGCCCACCUGCACAGGUGGCAAAAACAAGAGAAGCUCCGAAUCAGCACCUUAUCUUAUAUACAUAUAUAAGAGAGAAUGCUGGCUCUGAGUACAGGGUCCAGAGGAACCUUGAAAACUGCAUAGAGCUAGGUGAAAAAGCCAAAAAAGAAGACCGCAA
rnacentral:tRNA from 1 species